ACAACAUUCGGACCGUCGGUCUACCGAGCAAUAUCACCCGCGCGAUGGAAGAUCUUUCCUUUCGUCGU
rnacentral:pre_miRNA from 1 species